UUUUUCAAUUUUUGUUUUCUUUUUCUUUUCCCAUGCCUUUUCUUUUUUCAUUUAUUAUCUGCUCAAGUUCAAGCCCCAUCCCUGUAUCUCUUUUACACCUUCGCAUCUCGUUCGUCCUCUCCCCCACUCUAUCAUCAACGAUGUCAGUCCGCUCAGUUUUAUCAGUUGCCUCAGAAACCCUAAACCUUACGCCGCUCGCAUCAAGAAAUUCCCUACAAAAUUCGUAGAUCUGGGCUAAGUUUGUAAGGAUUUUUUGUCCUCCUAACGGAAUCUGUCUAGAUAUGGAACACUCAACAACACUAUGAAUCGAAAAUUUAUAUGACUCUCCAAGGUUGAAGUAAUGAAAGCUAGUAUCAUGAGGUAGAAAUACGAUAAGAUCAGUGAGAAAAAGAUGUUAACACUAAUGGAGGUGGAUCGAAUGAAGAAAGAGUGGAUAAAAGCGGUGAAGACCCUGCUUAGAGUUAUGUGAUUGUUCCUGUAACAUUAGUGUAUUUGAAUAUUUUUGUAAUCUUCUUUAGGGAAAUUUUCUCAUUACUUUGAGAGCUAAUUAUGCAUGCUUUUGAAUUGUUAGAUAAUGUAAUACAAUUUACUUUUAUGUAAAAGUCUCAAAAAAUUAUUGCAAUAUCCUCUCCAUAAACAGUUGUCGUAG